GAUGGAGGUCCUGCUUGUAAAGACUAUCAAUCUCUCAGCGGAAUGGAGCUGUCCGAGGCACAGGCUGUGCCAGCCCCUAUGUCUCUCCAAGUCUUGAAGGAGAUGCAGUGAAUAAGAACCAGAAUGGAUCCUGGAGAUCAGGCUAGUCUGAAACCUUUUAUUUUACUCAUUUGUACAGGGGAGGACAUUAAGUCGAGCUAAGUCCAAGUGACUUUGCAGAGGUAAUAAGUGGCAAUACUUUUCCCGACAUUACAAUAUAUAUGGCAUCUUAUGAAAACCCUCAUUUCUCCUUUCCCCUUUCCUUAGUUGCAUGCCCAGAAAAACUUAUCUGAAAAGAGAGUCCGGAAAACUGAGCAGCCACGUCCAGGAGACCUGAGAUUCACAAAGAACCAACAAGCAAUGUGUAAUUAAAAUAAUCAAACCAGAAAUCAAGCUUUGAAUUAUGCCAACUAUGAACGGUAUAAAGUGUGACAAGUUAAUGAGCUCUUUAUGGCUGGGGGAGAUUUACACCCUUCAAAAAUCCAGAGUAGCCUCGGGUAAGCACAACUUUUCCCCUUUAGUCUCGUUUUUUCCUCUCACAUUUGUCUGAAUCUUUUUAAUAUUAAUGAGAAAUAAUUUUCCUAAAAUCAAGGCUGUCAUAUAGCCAAAAGAAAAGACCAAACAAGAUGUCUAAAAGCUGUAUAAAAGAUAUAUAGAUAUCUAGAUAUAGAUAUAGAUAUAGAUAGAUCUAUAGAUAUAUAGUGUUUGGCCAAAUUUAAAGAACUAUAUGAAUGGAAACUAUUACCUUCACAGGCUUGGAGCAAAAGUCAGUCCCUCCCAUUUUAUAUCAGUUUCCUCUCAUGUUUCCGAUUGAAAUGACAAUAUACUUGUACCUACUGCCAAAAUAUUUCCAUAUGUUAAGAAUGUCUUGUGAAUGCCCUAUAUGUCAGAGCAUUUAGGUGAUACAAUAGAGAGAUCACUGGACUGGGAAAAUCUGUGCUGAAAUCUGGUCUACCUAUGUGACUGGGUAAGUCACAACUUUUAUCUGCCUCAGUUUCUCCAACUACAAAAUGAGCUGGAGAAGGAAAAGGAGUCAAACUACUCUAGUA